rnacentral:rRNA from 2 species
AGGCCCCCUGAAACGGGGUCUAAUACCGGAUAACACUCUGUCCCGCAUGGGACGGGGUUAAAAGCUCCGGCGGUGAAGGAUGAGCCCGCGGCCUAUCAGCUUGUUGGUGGGGUAAUGGCCUACCAAGGCGACGACGGGUAGCCGGCCUGAGAGGGCGACCGGCCACACUGGGACUGAGACACGGCCCAGACUCCUACGGGAGGCAGCAGUGGGGAAUAUUGCACAAUGGGCGAAAGCCUGAUGCAGCGACGCCGCGUGAGGGAUGACGGCCUUCGGGUUGUAAACCUCUUUCAGCAGGGAAGAAGCGAAAGUGACGGUACCUGCAGAAGAAGCGCCGGCUAACUACGUGCCAGCAGCCGCGGUAAUACGUAGGGCGCAAGCGUUGUCCGGAAUUAUUGGGCGUAAAGAGCUCGUAGGCGGCUUGUCACGUCGGAUGUGAAAGCCCGGGGCUUAACCCCGGGUCUGC